rnacentral:rRNA from 1 species
ACUACGGGGAGCUGCAGUGGGGGAUAUUGCACAAUGGGGGGAACCCUGAUGCAGCGACGCCGCGUGGGUGAAGAAGCGCCUCGGCGCGUAAAGCCCUGUCAGCAGGGAAGAAAAUGACGGUAACGGAAGAAGAAGCCCCGGCUAACGCCGUGCCAGCAGCCGCGGUAAUACGGAGGGGGCGAGCGUUAAUCGGAAUUACUGGGCGUAAAGCGCUCGUAGGCGGGCUGGCAAGUCAAGGGAGAAAUCCCCGCGCUCAACGUGGGAUAUGCCUUUGAAACUGGCAAACUUGAGUGUGGGAGAGGAUAGUGUACUUCCAGGUGUAGGGGUGAAAUCCGUAGAUAUCUGGAGGAACAUCAGUGGCGACGGCGACGCUCUGGCACAUAACUGCCGCUGAGGAGCGAAAGCGUGGGUAGCAAACAGGAUUAGAUACCCUGGUAGUC